rnacentral:rRNA from 1 species
UACGUAGGGGGCGAGCGUUGUCCGGAAUUAUUGGGCGUAAAGAGCUCGUAGGCGGCUUAGCAAGUCGGGUGUGAAAACUUCAGGCUCAACCUGGAGAUGCCACUCGAUACUGCUAUAGCUAGAGUCCGGUAGGGGAUCACGGAAUUCCUGGUGUAGCGGUGAAAUGCGCAGAUAUCAGGAGGAACACCGGUGGCGAAGGCGGGUCUCUGGGCCGAUAUUGACGCUGAGGAGCGAAAGCGUGGGGAGCGAACAGG